rnacentral:lncRNA from 1 species
AAACAUUUAAAAAAAAAAACCUGCCCCCGCAAACCAACCUUUUCUCGAUGUUUGCAGGCAGCUAAAAAACUAGCGCCUCUGAAGAAAAAGGCACCUCCACCUCCCAAAGAAGUGGAAGAAGAAUCCAGCGAGGAGGAGAGUGAGGAUGAGGAGGAAGAGGUGAGGAAUCGAUCUGUAAAUAACGCGUUUUAAACAUUUAGUUGCUAAUGAAGGAAUUGUUAGACUGAAAUUCAAUCUCAAUUCGGCAGGCGCCACCAGCUAAAGCUGUAGCAAAGAAGAAAGCGGCUCCGGCGAAGGCAGUGAAAAAUGGAAAAGCUGCUGCCAAACAGGAGAGUGACGACGACGACGAUGAAGAAUCUGAAGAGGAAGCUCCUCCCCCAAAGAAGGCAGCACCUGCCAAGAAAGCAGCGCCUGCUGAGGAGUCCGAUGAAGAGGAUGAUGAUGAUGAUGACGAAUCUGAGGAAGAGCUGCCUCCACCACCCAAGAAGGCGACUCCAGCCAAAGCCAUGAAGAAAGCAGCUCCUGCAGCCAAAGCACCUGCUGCGAAGGAGUCUGAGGAGGAUGAUGAUGACGAGGAAGAUGAUGAUGAAGAAGAGGAAAUGGACACGACUCCAGUGCCCAAAAAGGCAGGAAUGGUGAAGGCAAAGGAGGAAUCUGAAGAGGAUGAGGAUGACGACGAAGAGGAUGAUGAUGAUGAUGAUGAUGAAGGUGUGAUAGUGAAGUUCUUUUUAGAUUGUUUUGAUGUUCUGCUGAUCGGAUGCAUUUGGUUUGUUAAAAAUAUUAAGUUGGUGACUGAUUCUUCAGCUCCAAACAGACCCAGAAUGUGAAAAGCGUUCAGAUUUAGAAACGCUUUAUCAGAGAUAAGAAAAUGUUUUAUAAAGUGAGAAAUAGAGAGAAAAAAUUGCAAUAUAAUGAUAGCUGUACAUUUGAUGUGAAGGCAAUUGUAGUUUAGAUAUACAGGUACUGAUAAAAUACACUCUGAAUUUGUUAGAAAUUAAUAUUUAAGUCCCAAAAUGUCAGUUCUUUAGUGUGUGUGUGUGUGUAUGUAUGUAUGUAUGUGUGUGUAUGCAUGCAUGCAUACAUACACGCAUACACAUACCCACCCACCCACAUCUUCCAUGCUCCAAGUAAGCCAAUACUAAUGUAAAGUAAUGCUUUUCUUUCAUGCUACAGGUUUUUUCUUUUCCUUGGCAUUUUCAUCUUCUAUUUAGAUAGUGUAGUGGGAGAGAGAG